rnacentral:tRNA from 1 species
CAGGGAGUAGUUUAAAAAAAAUUUUAAUUUUGGAGAUUAAUGAUGGAAGGAUACUUCUUUCCCUGA